CUGCUUUUAAAAAUCAAAAAGAUAAUGGGUGCUAUUUUAAAUCACCCUGGGGUUUGCAACCUUUUUAAUUUCUCACUCUGUCUGUAGAAGACCAUUUUUUCUUACUGUCUGCCACACCUCUGUAGGGGAUUUCGUCACAGUGCCUCUGGGAAUGGAUGGCAUACACUUUUCUGUAUAUGUGAUGAGACUCCAUCUCAAAGUAUAUUCCAAGUAUUGGGCAAUCCCUAACUCAACCUCCUUCCAAAAUGGUGGCAUAUUCAUUAAAGGAAUUGUAGCCCUUGGAAAGGACUGGAGACAACAUUUCUGAAAAUACUACCAAAAGAGAGACUGCCAGAAGCAAAGUCAUUUGGAGAAAAAGCCUUAGCAAAUUAUUAUCAGAGACUAUCAGCGCUGGACUACAAGAGCUACAGUGAGGAGUACCCACACUACUCCUCUAUGUGGGUGAAGAAAAGAAGUACAUAAACAAAAGUACAAUGAUAAAUAGACAUUGAGUUGGAACCACAUCAGAUAUACAAGGAGUGGUGGGGUCUCUGGCAAGAUGGAGAGCACAUGCCUCAUACAAAAACAGAACUAUCAAGCUAUUGUAGAUUGCUGCCAUGCAAGAACUUGGGCUUCUUGUAAAAGAAGAAAUCCAGAUUUUUGUGUGAAAUCUUCUGGUUUUAAGAUGUGUUAAUAAGCAGAGUUCGUAUGAUUCUUCCAUGUCAUGCAGAUCAAAAGGGAAAGGACUAUGAUUAUAUUCACGCAAUGCAAGUCCCCACUGGCUGUAACUCCUAUGUUCUCCCAGAGCAGCUCUAAUUUCCCCUUCUCAAUAUUGUGAAAAGGAGGAAAAAGGCACAUUACAAAACUGAUCUAUGUGGUAAAAGGUCCAGAUGGCAAUUUCCCUUGGAUGUAGAUAGUGCCUAGAAGAAGCCAAGGAUUCUUCUGGAGUAUUAAGGAUGUUUUCUCUUAAUCCUGGAGCUGGUACCAGUGACAAAGAUAUGCUCAACUUGCAAAAAUUUAUCAAGCUGAAUACUUUAAUUUGUAUGCUUUCUUACAUGUAUGAUAAGCUGGAAUAAAAAUUCUCAAAAUGAUGCCAAGGGGAAUUCUUGGGCAGUAUGAUUUUCAGACCAUUUUCUA